UCCCAGCUCCUCACAACUUUCCCAUGCACAAAAACCAGGGCUUCAAAGCCAUUAGAGCCUGAGCUCCACGAGCUGGAGCUUACAGGGCUCAGGUGGAACUGUGUUAAGCAUAAAUCCUUCGGGCUUUUGUCCUGGGAUAGAGUAGCGGAAACACAGACGACUCUGCAGACAGACCGUGUGCAAAGUUAAUAAACUCGGUGCUGCACAGAUUGCCUGGUGAACCUGCCAACAGGUGAACAGCCUCAAUCCGCAACGGGUAUAAAUAAUCACCAGCCCUCAAAAGCAGGUAUUCUGGGUCACUAUUAAGAGCCCUUUCAAGUCAGCAAAGUUCAGCCAAGCCUACCUUAAUCCCAAACCUUUAAAAGAAACAAUAAAACACGGAAAGGGGGUGGAAGACGA